UACGUAGGCAGCAAGCGUUGUUCGGAAUUACUGGGCGUAAAGGGUGCGUAGGCGGUGUUCUAAGUUUGGUGUGAAAUCUCCCGGCUCAACUGGGAGGGUGCGCCGAAAACUGGAGUACUUGAGUGCGGGAGAGGAAAGCGGAAUUCCUGGUGUAGCGGUGAAAUGCGUAGAGAUCAGGAGGAACACCUGCGGUGUAGACGGCUUUCUGGACCGUAACUGACGCUGAGGCACGAAAGCGUGGGGAGCAAAC
rnacentral:rRNA from 1 species